AUUUAAAAUAAAUAAAUAAAAUGUGAGAAGUCCUUCAGCUCACUCGGCGACUCAGAGUCGCGACCCACAGGACUCGCUCGAAAACCACCUGGUCGAUCUGGAGAUGAAGCUCCAGAUGGUCUCCGAGGAGAUCGCCGCCUCGCUUGAGGAGCAGAGCGCGACGUCGUCCGAUUGCGCGACGACGCCACGCCGCUUCGCUCCGUUCCGUCGCCGCCGGAAUCCUCCAGAAGCUCAAGAAGGCCGAGGGAAGCUCAGCAGAAUCUAUAGCUGCCCUCGCUAUAGUUGAUACCGUCAAACGGAGAAUGGAAGCUGCGUAUGAGACUUUGCUGGUAGAAUAAUCCUGGUUUCUUGAUGCUGCUGGGUUAACUCAACUAAGUUCUACUGUGGAAGAUGUUUUUGCCAGUGGUGAUCUUCCUCUGGCUGCAGAAACCUUGGCUAAUAUGAGGCAUUGCUUGUCUGCUGUUAAGGAGAUCGCUGAAUUUGCUAAUGUUAGGAAGCAACUUGAGGUCUUAGAAGAUAGAUUAGAUUCAAUGGUACAGCCUCGUCUAACAGAUGCCAUAUCCAACUGCAAGGUUGAUGUUGCUCAAGAUUUGCAUGGAAUCCUCAUUCGAAUUGGAAGAUUCAAGUCUUUAGAGCUACAUUAUUCAAAAGUUCACUUAAAAGUCCAUAAAGCAGCUCUGGGAAGAUUUUGACUCAAGACAGCGAACUAGUAAGCUUUCUAGUGAGAGGAAUGAAGUGGAAAGGCUAUCAAGUAGUAACGAGUUUCAAUCAAGUUCACCUUCAAUUUCUUUCUCCAGUUGGUUGCCAAGUUUCUAUGACGAGUUGCUACUUUAUCUUGAGCAAGAAUGGAAGUGGUACAGUUCAUUCUUCUUUAGAAGCCUUAAUAUUUAGUCACAUUUUGUGAAGAGUUGUUUGUUCAAAAGUAUAGAAAUAGACUGAUUAUUUCUUUAUAAAUUUCAUGAUAACAUCACAUAAAAUUGGUUGCCAUUAACAGCUGAA